rnacentral:rRNA from 1 species
GACGAACGCUGGCGGCGUGCUUAACACAUGCAAGUCGAACGGUGACGCCCCUUCGGGGGCUGAUCAGUGGCGAACGGGUGAGUAACACGUGGGCAACCUGCCCCUAGCUCUGGGAUAACUCCGGGAAACCGGGGCUAAUACCGGAUACGACCUUGGUGGACAUCCGCCGAGGUGGAAAGUUUCUCGGCUAGGGGAUGGGCCCGCGGCCUAUCAGCUUGUUGGUGAGGUAACGGCCCACCAAGGCGACGACGGGUAGCCGGCCUGAGAGGGCGACCGGCCACACUGGGACUGAGACACGGCCCAGACUCCUACGGGAGGCAGCAGUGGGGAAUAUUGCGCAAUGGGCGAAAGCCUGGACGCAGCGACGCCGCGUGAGGGACGAAGGCCUUC